AAGCCACACCAAAGUUUAAUGUAAGUACUUGGAUUAAACCUUGAUGUUUUGGAUCAAUAAUUGCAUUAUUGUGGUAUCUUUUAAAGGCUUAAGGGAGCUAUGCUUGCAAUAGGUGAGAAGAGGAGCCCAUGUCCCCCAAGUCAUAGGAAGACCAAUCUAUUUGCUGGUUCACAACCUGCUCAAGGUUCAAGUUCCCAACAUGUGAAAGGUUCAAGUUCACAAGCUCCUUCACAACUCGCCAAAGUUCACAAGCUCCUCAAGGUUCAAGUUCACAA
rnacentral:lncRNA from 1 species